rnacentral:rRNA from 1 species
GAUGAACGCUGGCGGCGUGCCUAAUACAUGCAAGUCGAGCGAACAGACGAGGAGCUUGCUCCUCUGACGUUAGCGGCGGACGGGUGAGUAACACGUGGAUAACCUACCUAUAAGACUGGGAUAACUUCGGGAAACCGGAGCUAAUACCGGAUAAUAUAUUGAACCGCAUGGUUCAAUAGUGAAAGACGGUUUUGCUGUCACUUAUAGAUGGAUCCGCGCCGCAUUAGCUAGUUGGUAAGGUAACGGCUUACCAAGGCAACGAUGCGUAGCCGACCUGAGAGGGUAACCGGCAACACGGGAAUUGAAAAACGGUCAAGAUCCCUAGGGAAGGCAGAGGUGGGGAAUCUUCGGAAAGGGGGGAAAGCCUGACGGAGCAAGGCGGCGGGAGUAAUGAAGGUCUUCGGAUCGUAAAACCUUGUUAUUAGGAAAGAAAAAAUGUGUAAGUAACUAUGAACGUUUGAAGGGAACCAAAUCAGAAAGCAACGGCUAACUAGGG